rnacentral:rRNA from 1 species
UACGUAGGGUGCAAGCGUUAUCCGGAAUUAUUGGGCGUAAAGAGCUCGUAGGCGGUUUGUCGCGUCUGCUGUGAAAACCGGAGGCUCAACCUCCGGCCUGCAGUGGGUACGGGCAAACUAGAGUGCGGUAGGGGAGAUUGGAAUUCCUGGUGUAGCGGUGGAAUGCGCAGAUAUCAGGAGGAACACCGAUGGCGAAGGCGGGAUCCUGGGCCAGUACUGACGCUGAGGAGCGAAAGCGUGGGGAGCAAACAGG